rnacentral:misc_RNA from 1 species
AAGUCGUAACAAGGUUGGAAUACAGCAAGUCAAUGAUCUUUCCACACUCGCAAGUGAAUGGUUCAUUUGCUGGAGCCUUAGCAGCCUCAGAAUUCAUUUUGAGGUGCCCAGAGCGACUUAUUGCAAAAAAUAAGUCCUGGAGAUUAAAUGCUAGUGGUCCCACACGCUUAAUUACUUAAACGAUAGAACAACUCUUAGCAAUGGAUAUCUUGGUUUUUGUAACGAUGAA